UACGUAGGGUGCGAGCGUUGUCCGGAAUUAUUGGGCGUAAAGAGCGCGUAGGCGGCGCGGUACGACCGCUGUGAAAGCCCCCAGCUCAACUGGGGAGGGUCAGCGGUAACGGCCGUGCUAUGAGUGCAGGAGAGGGAAGUGGAACUCCGGGAGUAGCGGUGAAAUGCGUAGAGACCCGGAGGAACACCAGUGGCGAAGGCGGCUUCCUGGUCUGCGACUGACGCUGUGGCGCGAAAGCUAGGGGAGCAAACGGG
rnacentral:rRNA from 1 species